AACGCACAUUGCGCCCCUUGGUAUUCCGAGGGGCAUGCCUGUUCGAGCGUCAUUAUAACCAAUCCAGCCUGGCUGGGUCUUGGGCUCCGCCAACCGGCGGGCCUUAAAAUCAGUGGCGGUGCUGCCAGGCUCUAAGCGUAGUAAAUACCUCGCUAUAGGGUCCUGGUGGAGGCUUGCCAACAACCCCCAACUUCUUAGGUUGACCUCGGAUCAGGUAGGGAUACCCGCUGAACUUAA
rnacentral:misc_RNA from 1 species